AGGUACAGCACGGGACGAUCCACGCGCCAGCCCCUCUUCAGAGUCCAUCAGCUCUCUGACCAUCUCCGUGCGUACGUGGGCCUUGCCAUGGCGGAGAAACAGUCUGCGGCGCCCAAGGCCACCGCUCUGCAGCACACGGUGGCGUCGCAGCUGGGCGGCGCCGCGAGCACGAUUCUGCUCUAUCCGGUAGAUGUGAUACGGAUUCGGUUUACCUCGCAAGAUGGCACCCACACGCGUGAGCACAACGGACAAACGUAUCGCAGUAUUUUAAAGGCGUUCCAGCUCAUCUACCGCCUGGAGGGCGGCCUGCCUGUCUUUUUUCGGGGCUGCCAUGUGUCCGUGUGUGGCACGGUUUGCGCAUGGGGUGUCUACAUGUACCUUUAUCGAUGCCAGUGCACCUGGUACGAAGCGUGGCAGGCGAAGCGCCGUGAAGCUCACUGCAGUGGAAGCGGUGGGUCGAGGUUCUCGGAGACGGAGUCGCUCGCCGCGUGCUGGGCGGCGACGUGGCAGAACCUUCUUGAGCGCUUUGGCUUUUCCAUAAUCGCCAGCUGCACCUCGGCGGUGGCGUGCAAUCCCAUUUGGCUCCUCAAAACACGCAUGCAGCUGGAGGAGGCUUCCGCACGAACAGCAGAAGUCCCGCGCAACUUCCGCACGUUCCGUGGGGGGCUGCUGCACACAGUGCAGACCACCGGGGUUCGUUCGCUGUGGCGCGGCGUGUCGGCUCAAAUGGUGCUCGCCGUUCCGAACGCCUUCACCCUUCCCUUGUACGACACAGUCAAGGCAGCGGCCAUAGGCUUCAGGAAGGGCGAGCUGUCGGUUCUCGACGUGUGCGUCUGCUCCACCGUGACAAAGGUAGUCCUGGCACUCAUUUGUCAGCCGGUGAUCGUCGUCAAGACGCGCUUGCAGGACCACCGUGCGCGCACAGGGGAGAUUCAAUACCGGUCUUUUCUGCAGUCGAUCAGGACAAUAUGGAAGCGAGGCGGACUGGCCGCCUUCUACCGCGGCAGCGUGCCGUCAAUGUGCCAGACAGUCCCUCGCUCUGUCCUCAUGUUCGUUUUCUACGAGCACUUUCUAAAGGCGGCACAGCACAUCUUGCCCUGACAACCCUCUACGCUGUUUGCACCUACGCUGUGUCUCUGCCCACUAUCGCGUAGAUUUCGAAUGCCUCGUCGUUUCUCGGUUGCUCUCUGCAUGUUUCGUCGCCGCUCUGCCUUCCCAGGCGCUUGCUGCGGGGCUCUAUCUCUGUGUGCUCCCGUUUCCGAGGGUCGCACGCCCGCGGACGCUUGCGUCUCUCCUUCUAUCGCCGGUUCCUUCUGCAGUGCUGUUGGAAUCGAUCCGCCACCUCUCACGCGUGCUGUCGACGAGAAAGCGAGCGGAUGCCAGCAACGCGUGGGGUGGGUAGUCGUACAUCCAUGAAAAACAAUUGUACAAGAAAUGCGCGACGACGCCGGUUGCUCGUACUCGCGGAUUACGGUCGAUUUUAUGGGAUAGUGUGGAGAAGCAGAGAAUGGCGGCUGAGCCCGUUCGCAGAAGCUUUUCCCUGCUGCAUACGACAGUGCGCGUGAGACCCGUCUUCAGCGACACCUCGCGCCAUGUCGGCUUUUCGCGCUCACUGACAAGCAGGCCCGAGCUUACUCUCUCGGCUUGACACUUUGCGGCGCCGAUGAUUUCGUCCUCGUUCUCGGAUGGCGAAUCGCACCCCCCUUCUCUGCUUCCCUUUUUUUUUUUCCGCCUGGCACAUGCGCGGGAUCAUGACGCAUUAUCGUUGUGCGUGUGUACUUGUCUGGGUGUGUGCGAUGUCGCGCGUGCGCCGUCGGCUUCGCUGCCUGCACAG
rnacentral:misc_RNA from 1 species